rnacentral:misc_RNA from 1 species
GUGAAUCAUCAAAUUUUUGAACGCAAAUUGCACUCUCUUCGGAGCGUAUGCCUGUUUGAGGGUCAGUAUCAAUAAAAAUCGGUGUGUUGCUUUUUUGUUACGCUCCGGAGUUUGGGUCAUCUUAGUAUGCUUUAGGUUUUAAGAGGCUUAAAAUUUACUUUUUUUGCGCAUUUUAGGUGUACAUAAAGUCUUUUUUUGAUUUGUUUGGUUUAUUGCUCAAAAUCCUAUUAGAUUCGACCAUAUCGUUUGGUUUCGUGCUUAUAAAUUUUUCAUGUUUUGU